GACGAACGCUGGCGGCGUGCGUAACACAUGCAAGUCGAACGAUGAAGCUGGAGCUUGCUCCGGUGGAUUAGUGGCGAACGGGUGAGUAACACGUGAGCAAUCUGCCCUUGACUCUGGGAUAACUGCGGGAAACUGUAGCUAAUACCGGAUACGAGACUUGGAGGCAUCUCCAGGUCUGGAAAGAAUUUCGGUCAAGGAUGAGCUCGCGGACUAUCAGCUAGUUGGUGAGGUAAUGGCGCACCAAGGCGACGACGGGUAGCCGGCCUGGGAGGGUGGCCGGCCACACGGGAGUGGAGCAACGGUCCAGACUCCUAAGGGAGGCAGCAGGGGGUAAUAUUGCACAAUGGGCGAAAGCCUGAUGCAGCAACGCCGCGUGAGGGAUGAAGGCCUUCGGGCUGUAAACCUCUUUUAGCAGGGAAGAAGCGAAAGUGACGGUACCUGCAGAAAAAGCACCGGCUAACUACGUGCCAGCAGCCGCCGCCG
rnacentral:rRNA from 1 species